rnacentral:rRNA from 1 species
CCCUACGGGGCGCAGCAGGCGCGAAAACUUCACAAUGCGCUAAAGCGCGAUGAGGACAUUCCAAGUGCUUAUGCACUGCAUAAGCUGUUUAUUUGUCUAAAAAACAAGUAAAGUAAGGGCUGGGUAAGACUGGUGCCAGCCGCCGCGGUAAUACCAGCAGCUCGAGUGGUGGUCAUUUUUAUUGGGCUUAAAGCGUCCGUAGCCGGUUUAGUAAACCCUUGAGUAAAUCGUAUCGCUUAACGAUACGAACUUCGAGGGGACUGCUGAACUUGGGACCGGGAGAGGUCGGAGGUACUUUCGGGGUAGAGGUAAAAUUCUGUAAUCCCGGAAGGACCACCAGUGGCGAAGGCGUCCGACUAGAACGGCUCCGACGGUAAGGGACGAAACCCUGGGGCGCAAACCGGAUUAGAUACCCGGGUAGUCAAGGGCGUAAACGCUGCAGGCUUUGUGUUGGGGGUCCCACGAGGGCGCUCAGUGCCGUAGAGAAAUUGUUAAGCCUGCCGCCUGGGAAGUAUGGUCGCAAGACUGAAACUUAAAGGAAUUGGCGGGGGAGCAC